AGGUCUAUGGUGUAAUGGAUAGCAUGCAAGGUUUCGACCCUUGUGGUAUGGGUUCGAGUCCUAUUAGACCUA
rnacentral:tRNA from 1 species